UUACAUCCAUUACCUACCGUCUAAUGCUCCACAAUUUCCAGAAAGAACUACAUUCAUAGGCGUCUAAUGCUCCACAUCUUCCAAAAAUUGGCAGGCACGCCUGAAGCAGUAAAGCUAGUUGCCUGCCAAUCUAUCAGAAUCCAUAGCUCUCUUUUAUUACAGUGCCUACCUAUCUUUCCUAUUUUCAAGUUUCAGCACAUCAUAGCUUCACACGCUAUUUCUUUAUAACCACACAUUACCUCUUCCUCUUUUAAAUUUAUUUUGUCUUCACUCUUUCAAUUUUUAUUUCAUUUCUUCCCCCAUUAGUUACAGAUCUCUCUCUCUCUCUCUCUCUCUCUCUCACAGAGUAUCACACGACUCACACCAGUCUAACUCUUUUAACAUCAUUCCAUUCUAUUUUUUUCUUCACUUCAAACCGAUUUCUAGUGCAUGAAUCAGUAUCACCGACGCCUCUCCUCACCACCAAUCGGUAUUUUGUCGUCACCGGUGUGAUAAAGAGGAGGCAAAGAGAGACAGAAGUUUAGUGUGGCGUGAGAAAAGGUACCGGUCCGGUAUCCACUAACCGGCCGAAACAGCCGGAUUUCGCCGGUAUAACCGGUACGGCCGGUAUUUUUUUGGAUACGAAAUAAGGGGUUCUUUGUACCGGUGUACUGGUCGGUACGGUAUAUACCGGUCGGUACGCCAGUGUGAAUCAAGAUGGAAGAUUACAUAAAAUCAACUGCUUGGCUUUAGUUUUCAAGAGUGCUGGAUGAGAUUAGUGUUCUUUUUGCAAUGGUUGCAAUUUCCAGCUUGGUUAGACAGACGCCACACUUUUGCUGCUUGUGGUUUGUGCAAUUAUCUAAUCUCUAAUUAACAGAGAAAUAUGUUUUUAAGUAAUUAUAUAGUCCCUACAUAGACUUCUUGGUUUGUUUGGAUUGUUUAUUUAGAAUCAUUGCGGAUAUGGUUGUGUAAUUCUAUAGUUCUAAAUAAACAAUCCAAACAAACCAAGAAGUCUAUGUAGGGACUAUAUAAUUACACAACCAUAUCCAUAAUGAUUAUGAUUGACAUGAAUGUUUCGGUUUAUGUUGACUGGUUUAUUGUAUUCUAAUUUCUUCCUUCAUGAAAAUAUUUUUAUGUUAAUAGCUGUUGAUUUU